CUGGAAUUGAUUCAUGGUGCAAAGCUAGGCUCAAGGGCACUGGGAUAAGGUGAACUGUUUCUCCUCUGCUAUGCCUCUCUGCCAUGUGGCACCCUGCCUUGGGGUCAGCUAACUAUGGACUGAGACAUCUACGAACUGAGAGAGGGAGAGAGAGAGAUUGAUUUGGAAAAGAGGAAAGGAAAAACAAGGUCCUGCCAAUCAAAAAUUUUUUCCAGUCAAAAAAUGAUGAGUUCCAGCCCUGGGUUUGACAACGGAUCCACUAAAACAUCACAGCCCCUACCUCCCGUGAGCCUUUGGCUGCGGCCUCCCACAGUGCUCUCUGGUUGGCGUGUGCUUCAAAUGUCCCGAACAGCUUCUUCAGUCCUUUCCCCACGACUCUUCCCAGAAUUCCUUCCUCUCAACUUCAGACAGAAAUACAUGAUAUGAGAUGGGCAUUCCUUUCGUUUAUCAAAACUAUCUGAUCUGUACCCACUUACUCUAUUUCCUACUUUAUAACAGAAACAGAGACCUUCCUCCUUUAAAUCAAUGCCUUUAGGUGUCC
rnacentral:lncRNA from 1 species